rnacentral:misc_RNA from 1 species
GAAAUGCGAUAAGUAGUGUGAAUUGCAGAAUUCAGUGAAUCAUCGAAUCUUUGAACGCACAUUGCGCCCCUUGGUAUUCCAUGGGGCAUGCCUGUUCGAGCGUCAUUUGUACCCUCAAGCUCUGCUUGGUGUUGGGUGUUUGUCCCCGUCUCCGCGCGUGGACUCGCCCCAAAGUGAUUGGCAGCCGGCGUACUGGUCCCGGAGCGCAGCACAUGUCGCGCAAACGGGUGCCUUGGUACGGCGGCGUCCAUAAGCCCCUCUCUCACGCUCUUGACCUCGGAUCAGGUAGGGAUACCCGCUGAACUUAAGC